CGGACGAAACACAGGUGCUGCAUGGCUGUCGUCAGCUCGUGUCGUGAGAUGUUGGGUUAAGUCCCGCAACGAGCGCAACCCUCACUUUUAGUUGCCAUCAUUUAGUUGGGCACUCUGAAAGAACUGCCAGUGAUAAGCUGGAGGAAGGUGGGGAUGACGUCAAGUCCUCAUGGCCCUUACGUGUUGGGCUACACACGUGCUACAAUGGCAUUUACAAUAGGAAGCAAGAUGGCGACGUCAAGCAAAUCCUAAAAAGAUGCCUCAGUUCGGAUUGUACUCUGCAACUCGAGUACAUGAAGCUGGAAUUACUAGUAAUCGCGGAUCAGCGCGCCGCGGUGAAUACGUUCCCGGGUCUUGUACACACCGCCCGUCACACCAUGGGAGUUGGUUCUACCUUAAGGCAAGGUUUAAAACCCUUGACCACGGUAUAGUCAGCGACUGGGGUGAAGUCGUAACAAGGUAGCC
rnacentral:rRNA from 1 species